GCAGCAGCAGCAGUAACAGCUUAAAUCAUAUACCAUCAACAACAGAAUCAUGAGCAGCAGCAAAAGCAACAAACCAGAUACUCAAAUAUACAAGCCGCCAAUGGGAAGCUCAACAGCGCCAAGUACAACCAAACCAAAAUUGCCGUUUUCAUAGACAAAAACAAGAGGAGAAUGCAUCAAAAUGUCAAGAACAACCACAGAGUGUAUCGGCAAAACAACGACAAGAAUAGCCACGCGAACACUAAAACAAUCAGCAGCGUCACCAGUUAAAUGACCCACAACUAAAUUGUAAUUGACCAUGUCCCACCACUGCAGCAAAAACAAGACACUCCUGGAGUAUGUAACUUGUCGUCAACGCCUGUGUUUUCAAGCUAAUGCCCAGAUUGCGGUGGUAUGAUCAGCAUACGUAGAGAGCAUCAUGCGGUUUUCGUUGAACUGACUGUAUUCGUUGAGGUCAACGGCAUGUCAGAUGAGAAGAUUUUGUACAGGAUUGGCCCCAGUCUACUGCUUUAGAAUACUCCAGCUGUAAUUGGACACCGUCGCUGCACUUUACUACAAAGCUACGCUCAUGCAGAGCCACUGUGCCAAACUCGGUCAGUGCUGGCGCUCCUCGAAGGCUCUCAGAGUGAAUUGUGAGAUUCGAGAAAGUUACUGUUGCGUGCCAUGUUUACGCCUGAACCCAAACUGUUAAUUAGGCACGGCUUUGGCAAAUUCCUCAAGUUCAAAGAGCCGGGCCAGCAGAAGUUUUCCGACUGUAGAAAAAAAUCGCCAGGUCCCACCACUGCGGCAAAAACAAGACACUCCUGGAGUAUGCAAGCUGUACUCAACGCCUG